rnacentral:rRNA from 1 species
UAGGGAAUCUUCCGCAAUGGGCGAAAGCCUGACGGAGCAACGCCGCGUGAGUGAUGAAGGUCUUCGGAUCGUAAAACUCUGUUAUUAGGGAAGAACAAAUGUGUAAGUAACUAUGCACGUCUUGACGGUACCUAAUCAGAAAGCCACGGCUAACUACGUGCCAGCAGCCGCGGUAAUACGUAGGUGGCAAGCGUUAUCCGGAAUUAUUGGGCGUAAAGCGCGCGUAGGCGGUUUUUUAAGUCUGAUGUGAAAGCCCACGGCUCAACCGUGGAGGGUCGUUGGAAACUGGAAAACUUGAGUGCAGAAGAGGAAAGUGGAAUUCCAUGUGUAGCGGUGAAAUGCGCAGAGAUAUGGGGGAACACCAGUGGCGAAGGCGACUUUCUGGUCUGUAACUGACGCUGAUGUGCGAAAGCGUGGGGAUCAAACAGG